GAUGAACGCUAGCUACAGGCUUAACACAUGCAAGUCGAGGGGAAACGACAUCGAAAGCUUGCUUUUGAUGGGCGUCGACCGGCGCACGGGUGAGUAACGCGUAUCCAACCUGCCCACCACUUGGGGAUAACCUUGCGAAAGUAAGACUAAUACCCAAUGACGUCUCUAGAAGACAUCUGAAAGAGAUUAAAGAUUUAUCGGUGAUGGAUGGGGAUGCGUCUGAUUAGCUUGUUGGCGGGGUAACGGCCCACCAAGGCGACGAUCAGUAGGGGUUCUGAGAGGAAGGUCCCCCACAUUGGAACUGAGACACGGUCCAAACUCCUACGGGAGGCAGCAGUGAGGAAUAUUGGUCAAUGGGCGAGAGCCUGAACCAGCCAAGUAGCGUGCAGGAAGACGGCCCUAUGGGUUGUAAACUGCUUUUAUAAGGGAAUAAAGUGAGUCUCGUGAGGCUUUUUGCAUGUACCUUAUGAAUAAGGACCGGCUAAUUCCGUG
rnacentral:rRNA from 1 species